rnacentral:rRNA from 1 species
UACGUAGGGUGCGAGCGUUAAUCGGAAUUACUGGGCGUAAGCGUGCGCAGGCGGUUUGUAAGUCUGUCGUGAAAGCCCCGGGCUCAACCCCGGAAUUGCCUUUGAGACUGGAUUGCUAGAAUCGUUGGAGAGGCGGGUGGAAUUCCGAGUGUAGAGGUGAAAUUACGUAGAUAUUCGGAAGAACACCAGUGGCGAAGGCGGCCCGCUGGACGAAGUAUUGACGCUGAGGUGACGAAAGCGUGGGGAGCAAACAGG